rnacentral:rRNA from 1 species
AUUGAACGCUGGCGGCAUGCCUUACACAUGCAAGUCGAACGGCAGCACGGGAGCAAUCCUGGUGGCGAGUGGCGAACGGGUGAGUAAAGUAUCGGAACGUGCCCAGUCGUGGGGGAUAACGUAGCGAAAGUUACGCUAAUACCGCAUACGAUCUAUGGAUGAAGGCGGGGGAUCGCAAGACCUCGCGCGAUUGGAGCGGCCGAUAUCAGAUUAGGUAGUUGGUGGGGUAAAGGCUCACCAAGCCGACGAUCUGUAGCUGGUCUGAGAGGACGACCAGCCACACUGGGACUGAGACACGGCCCAGACUCCUACGGGAGGCAGCAGUGGGGAAUUUUGGACAAUGGGCGAAAGCCUGAUCCAGCCAUGCCGCGUGCAGGAUGAAGGCCUUCAGGUUGUAAACUGCUUUUGUACGGAACGAAAAGGUUUGGGCUAAUAAGCUGAGCUCAUGACGGUACCGUAAGAAUAAGCACCGGCUAACUACGUGCCAGCCGCCGCAGUAA